CAGACCGCCAGCUAAGGUCCCAAAGUCAUGGUUAAGUGGGAAACGAUGUGGGAAGGCCCAGACAGCCAGGAUGUUGGCUUAGAAGCAGCCAUCAUUUAAAGAAAGCGUAAUAGCUCACUGGUCGAGUCGGCCUGCGCGGAAGAUGUAACGGGGCUAAACCAUGCACCGAAGCUGCGGCAGCGACGCUUAUGCGUUGUUGGGUAGGGGAGCGUUCUGUAAGCCUGUGAAGGUGUGCUGUGAGGCAUGCUGGAGGUAUCAGAAGUGCGAAUGCUGACAUAAGUAACGAUAAAGCGGGUGAAAAGCCCGCUCGCCGGAAGACCAAGGGUUCCUGUCCAACGUUAAUCGGGGCAGGGUGAGUCGACCCCUAAGGCGAGGCCGAAAGGCGUAGUCGAUGGGAAACAGGUUAAUAUUCCUGUACUUGGUGUUACUGCGAAGGGGGGACGGAGAAGGCUAUGUUGGCCGGGCGACGGUUGUCCCGGUUUAAGCGUGUAGGCUGGUUUUCCAGGCAAAUCCGGAAAAUCAAGGCUGAGGCGUGAUGACGAGGCACUACGGUGCUGAAGCAACAAAUGCCCUGCUUCCAGGAAAAGCCUCUAAGCAUCAGGUAACAUCAAAUCGUACCCCAAACCGACACAGGUGGUCAGGUAGAGAAUACCAAGGCGCUUGAGAGAACUCGGGUGAAGGAACUAGGCAAAAUGGUGCCGUAACUUCGGGAGAAGGCACGCUGAUAUGUAGGUGAAGUCCCUCGCGGAUGGAGCUGAAAUCAGUCGAAGAUACCAGCUGGCUGCAACUGUUUAUUAAAAACACAGCACUGUGCAAACACGAAAGUGGACGUAUACGGUGUGACGCCUGCCCGGUGCCGGAAGGUUAAUUGAUGGGGUCAGCGCAAGCGAAGCUCUUGAUCGAAGCCCCGGUAAACGGCGGCCGUAACUAUAACGGUCCUAAGGUAGCGAAAUUCCUUGUCGGGUAAGUUCCGACCUGCACGAAUGGCGUAAUGAUGGCCAGGCUGUCUCCACCCGAGACUCAGUGAAAUUGAACUCGCUGUGAAGAUGCAGUGUACCCGCGGCAAGACGGAAAGACCCCGUGAACCUUUACUAUAGCUUGACACUGAACAUUGAGCCUUGAUGUGUAGGAUAGGUGGGAGGCUUAGAAGUGUGGACGCCAGUCUGCAUGGAGCCGACCUUGAAAUACCACCCUUUAAUGUUUGAUGUUCUAACGUUGACCCGUAAUCCGGGUUGCGGACAGUGUCUGGUGGGUAGUUUGACUGGGGCGGUCUCCUCCUAAAGAGUAACGGAGGAGCACGAAGGUUGGCUAAUCCUGGUCGGACAUCAGGAGGUUAGUGCAAUGGCAUAAGCCAGCUUGACUGCGAGCGUGACGGCGCGAGCAGGUGCGAAAGCAGGUCAUAGUGAUCCGGUGGUUCUGAAUGGAAGGGCCAUCGCUCAACGGAUAAAAGGUACUCCGGGGAUAACAGGCUGAUACCGCCCAAGAGUUCAUAUCGACGGCGGUGUUUGGCACCUCGAUGUCGGCUCAUCACAUCCUGGGGCUGAAGUAGGUCCCAAGGGUAUGGCUGUUCGCCAUUUAAAGUGGUACGCGAGCUGGGUUUAGAACGUCGUGAGACAGUUCGGUCCCUAUCUGCCGUGGGCGCUGGAGAACUGAGGGGGGCUGCUCCUAGUACGAGAGGACCGGAGUGGACGCAUCACUGGUGUUCGGGUUGUCAUGCCAAUGGCACUGCCCGGUAGCUAAAUGCGGAAGAGAUAAGUGCUGAAAGCAUCUAAGCACGAAACUUGCCCCGAGAUGAGUUCUCCCUGACCCUUUAAGGGUCCUGAAGGAACGUUGAAGACGACGACGUUGAUAGGCCGGGUGUGUAAGCGCAGCGAUGCGUUGAGCUAACCGGUACUAAUGAACC
rnacentral:rRNA from 1 species